AGAGUUUGAUCCUGGCUCAGAGUGAACGCUGGCGGCGUGCCUAACACAUGCAAGUCGAACGAUGAUGGAGAGCUUGCUCUCCUGAUUAGUGGCGCACGGGUGAGUAUACCAUAGAUAAUGUACCUCUUAGUUCGGGAUAGCCACUGGAAACGGUGAUUAAUACCGGAUACUCCUUCUUGUCUUAAGGCGAGUCGGGAAAGUUUUUUCGCUAAGAGAUCAGUCUAUGUCCUAUCAGCUAGUUGGUGAGGUAAUGGCUCACCAAGGCUAUGACGGGUAUCUGGUUUGAGAGGAUGAUCAGACACACUGGAACUGAGACACGGUCCAGACUCCUACGGGAGGCAGCAGUGAGGAAUAUUGCACAAUGGAGGAAACUCUGAUGCAGCAACGCCGCGUGGAGGAUGACGCAUUUCGGUGUGUAAACUCCUUUUAAGAGGGAAGAUAAUGACGGUAUCUCUUGAAUAAGCACCGGCUAACUCCGUGCCAGCCGCCGCGGU
rnacentral:rRNA from 1 species